GACAGAGGUCCCGAGCGUUAGGCGGAAUCACUGGGCUUAAAGCGUGUGUAGGCGGAGUGCUAAGUACCUUGUGAAAUCCCACGGCUCAACCGUGGAACUGCUUGGUAUACUGGUUCUCUUGAGCCACCUAGGGGCAACCGGAACAAACGGUGGAGCGGUGAAAUGCGUAGAUAUCGCUUGGAACGCCGAAGGUGAAAACAGGUUGCUGGGGUUGUGCCGACGCUGAGACACGAAAGCCAGGGGAGCAAACGGG
rnacentral:rRNA from 1 species